UACGUAGGGUGCGAGCGUUAAUCGGAAUUACUGGGCGUAAAGCGUGCGCAGGCGGCUUUGCAAGACAGAUGUGAAAUCCCCGGGCUCAACCUGGGAACUGCAUUUGUGACUGCAAGGCUAGAGUACGGCAGAGGGGGAUGGAAUUCAGCGUGUAGCAGUGAAAUGCGUAGAUAUGCGGAGGAACACCAAUGGCGAAGGCAAUCCCCUGGGCCUGUACUGACGCUCAUGCACGAAAGCGUGGGGAGCAAACAGG
rnacentral:rRNA from 1 species